rnacentral:sRNA from 1 species
GUCAGCUCAAACAGAGAGCUAUUGAUAAAAUAUUUAGUUCAAGAUUUUCUCAGUUUUUCGAUUCAUUCGACAUAUCUAUCCUGCGAUACCUUUUUCUUCAUUCCUUAUUUAGUAGCUUCCUUUAUAAAUUAAUCAAUCUAUCGAGAUAUAUAUGUCAAAUAAAACAACUGGCUUAGUUAAAUGGUUUAAUGAAUCAAAAGGCUUUGGAUUUAUCACUCCAGAUAAUGGCAGUUCUGAUCUAUUUGUUCACUUCAGAGCAAUCGCUAAUGACGGUUUUAAAACAUUAGUUGAAGGUCAAAAAGUUUCUUUUAACGUUGAGCAAGGCGGCAAAGGCCCUCAAGCUGCUAACGUUACUGUACUGUAAGUAUUUUUAGCACAACCUAUUUGGUUGGCGACUAUACAGCAGUUAAAUGGCG